CUGAAGCCUGUCCAAAAAGUGAUUUCUUCAUUUCUUGGAUGUAAAUGGGAAUUGCUUAGUGCAAAAUUGGGAGAGAAAGUCAGCGUUGACCAGUUAAGGAAAUUUACAGGAAAAGAUGAAACCAACCUUAUUUUCAGACAAUACUUGGAAUAUCUGCAAAAGAGUCUGACCAUCGAGGAAUCAGACCAGCCACUAGUUGUAUCACCCAAUGUAUUUCUGAUGGACCAGGGAACAAGGGGCGUUGUCCACAUGUGUGUUGACCCACUGGAACUGCAGCAAGGGGUCAUACGGGCAAGAAAAAGGAUUUUCAUUAGCCUUAUGUAAGCUUUCACCACAUCAGGUUUGCUGGACCUAGUGGACCGUUUAAAUUUUGGUGUGUGCCACAUUUUCAACGUAGCAAUAAUGGGGGAUAUCCAUCAAUUAAUGGAAAUAAAAAAAUGGAUCGAGGAACACCGUGGAAUCUGCGAACUUGGUUUCGCAUGUGUUAAAGGAGUUAAACCAUCAGGUCCUAGCCUUGGUAUGGUACGGGCUGUAGAGGGGUUUCUCCUCUACCAUGCGGCGCCUGGGCAACGGCUGCUGCAAGAUCAUUUUAAUUUCACUGCCUGCACUGAGAAUUUUAUUAUUGUAAGUCAAGAGCACAAGGAGUUGGAGGUGUGGCAUUCUGUAGUUGAAAUGUUCAGUAGACCAGGCGAUUGGAUUCUUGACGUGAAUACGCCACAAGUUGCUGGAGCUGCUGCAGCCAUGAAGGAAGGCAGGAAUGUUUUAUGCUUAACACCAAAUGAAGAAGAAGCAAGAAACGUAUUGCGCAAAAUUUUGUGAUUUGAAAAACUAAUUAUAUAAUUCUAUAUACAUGAUUCUUUGCAUUUGACUUUAGUAUUUUGGUUGUGAU
rnacentral:misc_RNA from 1 species